rnacentral:rRNA from 1 species
UAGGGAAUCUUCCACAAUGGACGCAAGUCUGAUGGAGCAACGCCGCGUGAGUGAAGAAGGCUUUCGGGUCGUAAAACUCUGUUAUUGAAGAAGAACGUGUGUGACAGUAACUGGUCAUGCAGUGACGGUAUUCAAUCAGAAAGUCACGGCUAACUACGUGCCAGCAGCCGCGGUAAUACGUAGGUGGCAAGCGUUGUCCGGAUUUAUUGGGCGUAAAGCGAGUGCAGGCGGUCUUUUAAGUCCGAUGUGAAAGCCUUCGGCUUAACCGAAGAAGGGCAUCGGAAACUGGAGACUUGAGUG